rnacentral:lncRNA from 1 species
GCUGUGAUAGGGAAUGCUAGGGGACUUGCUCCAGGGAAAAUGCCCCUGGGGGUGGCCUCUCAGAGGAGGUAAGGCCUGAAGAGUUAGAAAGGAUCAGCCAUGCAAACAGCUCACCUGGCCUGGGGUGCACCCCAUCAGAAUGUGCACCAAAUGAGCAAAGUCACAGAAAGCAGACCUUCCCAUAAAUCAGCUCUAAAGAACAAGAAAAGCCUGCCCAGAAGAGCCUAUCCAUGAUGAGGUGUUUUCUUGGAGCUUCCUGAACAUGAAGAGCAAGAAGACAGCUGGAAUCUGUUUUGACAUUUAGAAGGGGAUUUUGUUUGUUUAUUUAUUUGUUUAAUGGAGCAAAGACAUGUCACAGAUUACUUAAACAUAUUAACAAGUCAUAGUUUAAAAUAAGUUCAUGAGGUUGCAGGAGUAGGUUUGCCACAUGUUCUGCAAGUGUGCCUUUCCCAAGAAAACAAGGAUGGUGUCUUUUUUUAAGUUGCCUUUAUGUCCACAUUACCCAGCACAUAGUAAAUGCUUUCUGAGUAAGUGAAAUAACAAGAAUUAGAUAUCAGACCUGCUCUGUCUGAACUCUGUCCAUAUCAGCGGCAACCUCAACUCAUGGUUAGUAUGUAUAUUGGUUUUCCAUGACUGCAUAAUAAAUUAUCCCAAAAUAUAGCUGCUUCAAACAAC